rnacentral:rRNA from 1 species
CAAUAGCGUAUAUUAAAGUUGUUGCAGUUAAAAAGCUCGUAGUUGGAUUUGUGGCGUACGGUGUGUUCCGGGCACUUGUUGUCUGAGUAACCUGCUGUUGCCAUCCUUGGGUGGAACCUGUGUGGCAUUAGGUUGUCGUGCAGGGGAUGCCCAUCAUUUACUGUGAAAAAAUUAGAGUGUUCAAAGCAGGCUUAUGCCGUUGAAUAUAUUAGCAUGGAAUAAUGAGAUAGGACUUUUUUGCUAUUCUGUUGGUUUGCGCAAGAAGGUAAUGAUUAAUAGGGACAGUUGGGGGUAUUCGUAUUCCAUUGUCAGAGGUGAAAUUCUUGGAUUUUUGGAAGACGAACUACUGCGAAAGCAUUUACCAAGGAUGUUUUCAUUAA